rnacentral:rRNA from 1 species
GACAGAGGGUGCAAGCGUUGUUCGGAAUCAUUGGGCGUAAAGGGCGCGUAGGCGGUUUUGCAAGUCGAAUGUGAAAGCCCAGGGCUCAACCUUGGAAGUGCAUCCGAAACUGCGAAACUUGAAUCCUGGAGAGGGUGGUGGAAUUCCCAGUGUAGAGGUGAAAUUCGUAGAUAUUGGGAGGAACACCGGUGGCGAAGGCGGGUCUCUGGGCAGUAACUGACGCUGAGGAGCGAAAGCGUGGGGAGCGAACAGG